rnacentral:rRNA from 1 species
GUAGGUGGCAAGCGUUGUCCGGAAUUAUUGGGCGUAAAGCGCGCGCAGGCGGUUCUUUAAGUCUGAUGUGAAAGCCCACGGCUCAACCGUGGAGGGUCAUUGGAAACUGGAGAACUUGAGUACAGAAGAGGAAAGCGGAAUUCCACGUGUAGCGGUGAAAUGCGUAGAGAUGUGGAGGAACACCAGUGGCGAAGGCGGCUUUCUGGUCUGUAACUGACGCUGAGGCGCGAAAGCGUGGGGAGCAAACAGGAUUAGAUACCCUGGUAGUCCACGCCGUAAACGAUGAGUGCUAAGUGUUAGGGGGGUUUUCUGUCCCUUAGUGCUGUAGUUAACGUAUUAAGUAUUUUGUCUGGGGAGUACGGCCGCAAGGCUG